AUGGGAACGCGAAGAACCUUACCUACUCUUGACAUCCAGAGAACUUAGCAGAGAUGCUUUGGUGCCUUCGGGAACUCUGAGACAGGUGCUGCAUGGCUGUCGUCAGCUCGUGUUGUGAAAUGUUGGGUUAAGCCCCGCAACGAGCGCAACCCUUACUCCUUUGUUGCCAGCGGUUAGGCCGGGAACGUCAAAGGAGACUGCCAGUGAUAAACUAGGAGGGAAGGUGGGGAUGACGUCAAGUCAUCAUGGCCCUUACGAGUAGGGCUACACACGUGCUACAAUGGCGCAUACAAAGAGAAGCGACCUCGCGAGAGCAAGCGGACCUCGUAAAGUGCGUCGUAGUCCGGAUUGGAGUCUGCAACUCGACUCCAUGAAGUCGGAAUCGCUAGUAAUCGUAGAUCAGAAUGCUACGGUGAAUACGUUCCCGGGUCUUGUACACACCG
rnacentral:rRNA from 1 species